GACGAACGCUGGCGGCGUGCCUAAUACAUGCAAGUUGAGCGCUGAAGGUUGGUACUUGUACCAACUGGAUGAGCAGCGAACGGGUGAGUAACGCGUGGGGAAUCUGCCUUUGAGCGGGGGACAACAUUUGGAAACGAAUGCUAAUACCGCAUAAAAACUUUAAACACAAGUUUUAAGUUUGAAAGAUGCAAUUGCAUCACUCAAAGAUGAUCCCGCGUUGUAUUAGCUAGUUGGUGAGGUAAAGGCUCACCAAGGCGAUGAUACAUAGCCGACCUGAGAGGGUGAUCGGCCACAUUGGGACUGAGACACGGCCCAAACUCCUACGGGAGGCAGCAGUAGGGAAUCUUCGGCAAUGGACGAAAGUCUGACCGAGCAACGCCGCUUGAGUGAAGAAGGGUUUCGGAUCGUAAAACUCUGUUGGUAGAGAAGAACGUUGGUGAGAGUGGAAAGCUCAUCAAGUGACGGUAACUACCCAGAAAGGGACGGCUAACUACGUG
rnacentral:rRNA from 1 species